GAGACUCUGUGCGCGUGCAUAUCAAUAAGCGGAGGAAAAGAAACUAACAAGGAUUCCCCUAGUAACGGCGAGUGAAGCGGGAAGAGCUCAAAUUUGAAAUCUUAAAGGGUUUCCCUUUACGAAUUGUAGUUUAAAGAAGUGUUUUCUGUUGGAGUUUCGGUAAAAGUUCUUUGGAAUAGGACAUCAUAGAGGGUGAGAAUCCCGUAUUUGACCGUUACUUUCCAGCUGUGUGAUACACUUUCAAAGAGUCGGAUUGUUUGGGAAUGCAGUCCAAGAUGGGUGGUAAAUUUCAUCUAAAGCUAAAUACUGGCGAGAGACCGAUAGCGAACAAGUACCGUGAGGGAAAGAUGAAAAGAACUUUGAAAAGAGAGUUGAAACAGUACGUGAAAUUGUCAAAAGGGAAGCGUUUGACACCAGUGUUGUUUAGUUGAAAAUCAAUUCAAUAGUUUUUGAUUCUAAGUAGUAUUGACUUCAUCAGCUUGCUGCUUUCUUCUCAGAAAUUAUUGAAUGCACUUUUCAGUUAACAAGUCAACAUCAAUUUCUUUUGUUGUAAAAGGGUAAGAGGAAGGUGGCUUGCGCUUCGGCUCAAGUGUUUAUAGCCUUUUAUCUCUGCAAUCGGAGAGAUUGAGGUCUGCAGCGUAGAUCCUUCGGGGUUAGAUACAUUGGUGCUAGCUAUAGCCUUGUAUAGACAACUUGUUGACUAUGCUCAGUCAUGUAGCUUACUCGCUGAUGCUAUUUUACCUACGCUUAGGAUGUUGACAGCAGUAUAGACUGU
rnacentral:rRNA from 1 species